UGGCAAAGAGUAACUCAUUUUGAUGCCUCUCGCUACCCCUGGCCUUAGUUUUAAAGGAAUCAUGCGACACACUCGCACUCCACUACCCCAUCCCAUGGAAAAACGCUCCCACCAUCGAGGUGUUGACCAAAAUUUCGCUGUGUGCAUGAGACACACACUCGCACUCCUCCAGCCCUCCACAGCUGAACGCUCCCACCGUUGCGAAGUUGCGAGAAUUUUUGCUCUGAGCGUGAGACCCUGAAGCGCCAGAGAUGACACUAUGUGUAAAGACGAUCAUAAUUCGAUAUGGUCAAAAUGCGUCGAUUAUCGUUUCAUUUAUCUGGUAAUGAUGUUUUCACUUCAUCAAAAUUUUAAACAUUAACAACUAGGCUGAUAACAAUAGUUGAAAUGUAAAUCAGAAUAAAAUCAAUUCAUUUGAAGUAAAAUGAAUUCCAUUAUACUCUAUUUUGACCAAAUGAUCAACUCUUGUACAUAGUGCCAUUUACUUUGUGUUCUUCACUCUCGCGUUGUGUUUUGAUCGUUCGAAACUCAUUGCCAGAACGAAUGCAAAUUUCAUUUGGGAAGGAUCGGUGCCGGAAGAUGCAGUGAAAAUUAUAAAAUGUUUAUAGAAAAGUGGUUAAGUAAAUCGUGAAAGAUGUCAACGCAGGCGUAAAUGCAGUUUGUUUUGUUACUUGAUCUACGGCUAUUUCAUUGCCAAAGCACCUGAUAACCGAUCAAAGAAGGUGAAUUGGGCUUACAGAGUCGCCAUUUAACUUCAAUAUAUUCGUGAUCGGAAAACGCAUCAAACAGCAAGUGUUUUUCUUCUAAUAGCACGCGCCAUCGGUGGAGCAAGCUGCAAACGUUUCGUUCGCCCAACACGCACCAUCAAGUAUUAUAAUAUUCCCGAAUAGCUCUGUGAAUAAAAAACUGCACACUUACUGUC